rnacentral:misc_RNA from 1 species
GAUGAAGAACGCAGCGAAAUGCGAUAAGUAAUGUGAAUUGCAGAAUCCAGUGAAUCAUCGAAUCUUUGAACGCACAUUGCGCCCGCCAGCAUUCUGGCGGGCAUGCCUGUCCGAGCGUCAUUUCAACCCUCAAGCACUGCUUGGCGUUGGGGCGCUACGCGCUGAGCGUAGGCCCCUAAAAUCAGUGGCGGACCCGCUGUGGCUCCGGGCGUAGUAGCAACAUCUCGCCCUGGGACCGCGGCGCGUUCCGGCCGUUAAACCCCCCACUAUAUCGAAGGUUGACCUCGGAUCAGGUAGGAAUACCCGCUGAACUUAAGCAUAUCAAUAAGCGGAGGA